rnacentral:rRNA from 1 species
UACGUAGGGUGCGAGCGUUGUCCGGAAUUACUGGGCGUAAAGAGCUCGUAGGUGGUUUGUCACGUCGUCUGUGAAAUUCCGGGGCUUAACCUCGGGCGUGCAGGCGAUACGGGCAAUACUUGAGUGCUGUAGGGGAGACUGGAAUUCCUGGUGUAGCGGUGAAAUGCGCAGAUAUCAGGAGGAACACCGGUGGCGAAGGCGGGUCUCUGGGCCUUACCUGACGCUGAGGAGCGAAAGCAUGGGUAGCGAACAGGAUUAGAUACCCGGGUAGU